rnacentral:rRNA from 1 species
UUUUUCUUCGGACAGAUUACAAGGUGCUGCAUGGUUGUCGUCAGCUCGUGCCGUGAGGUGUCAGGUUAAGUCCUAUAACGAGCGCAACCCCUGUGGUUAGUUGCCAGCGAGUCAAGUCGGGAACUCUAGCCAGACUGCCGGUGCAAACCGUGAGGAAGGUGGGGAUGACGUCAAAUCAUCACGGCCCUUACGUCCUGGGCCACACACGUGCUACAAUGGUAGGUACAGAGAGCAGCCACGUCGCAAGGCGGAGCGAAUCUAUAAAACCUAUCACAGUUCGGAUCGGGGUCUGCAACUCGACCCCGUGAAGCUGGAAUCGCUAGUAAUCGCAUAUCAGCCAUGAUGCGGUGAAUACGUUCCCGGGCCUUGUACACACCGCCCGUCAAGCCAUGGAAGCUGGGGGUACCUGAAGUCCGUCACCGCAAGGAGCGGCCUAGGGUAAGACCGGUAACUGGGGCUAAGUCGUAACAAGGUAGCCGUACCGGAAGGUGCGGCUGGAACACCUCCUUUCU